AUAUAAGAUGUAACAUAUUCAUCAAGCUGACCCAACAAAUCAGGAACAUGACUUAUUAUUAUUUUAUUUUAUUUUUUUUUUUUAUGCAUAUCUUUUUUUGUUUUUCCUUUUUCUUUUUUAAUAGGCCAUAUACUCAAUGCACAAAACAAAUUAUUAUGAUACAUUAAAUUAUACUUCAUUAAACAAAAUACGAUUUUACACAAAAAGAUCUUUUAAUUAUAAUUAUCCCAAAAACACUCAAAUGCGUUUUCAAAUUGAGUACGAAGUAGAAUACAAAUACUAUGAACAUGAGUGUCAUGUUCUGACUAAGAAAUUAAAAAAUGAUUACUACAAGGGAAAUCGUGAUUAUAGUAAGUUACUUUUUUUUUUUUUUUUUUUUUUUUUUUUAAAAUAUAUACAUUUUAGACAUAUAACACAUGCUCACAUGUACAUGUUAUACGUUAAUCUCUUAUUUUGUGCCUCUAUUUUUAAUUGAUGCGUUUUGCUAGUGUAUAUAUAUAUAUACAUAUACAUAUAUGUGCAAUUUUUUUUUUUUUUUCUUAGAACAAAAAUUAAAUUAUGAAGAAAUUCCAGAAAGUUGCAUAAAACUGAAAAAUUUAGAGGUAAAAUUUUGCAUCUCAAAAUGUUGACCAGUUGUUAAUUUAUUUUAUUUUAUGAUAUUUAUAAAGUGCAGUAUAUUUGUUUAAAUUCUUAUGUGUUUUUGCAUAAUACUUAUAUAUAUAUAUAUAUAUCGAUAUACCUCCAUAUACAUCGAUAUAUAUAUCAAUAUGUGCAAUUUGUUUAAUAUACUUCCAUGUUUAUACAUAUUAAUAUAAAUACCUAUUUUUACACGUCUCAGGAUCAAUACAACGACUACAUUUUGAAAAUGAAAAGGAGAUGACAAAAAAAAAAAAAAAAAAAAAAAUCCAUUAAUUUGAUAAAUUAAUUUUUAAAAAUUAAAAUAAGCUGUUAAAAAAAAUAUACACAUAUAUAUCCAUAUAUAUAUAUGUAUGUACUAUUUUUUUUUUUUUUUUUUUUUUUUGUUGUUGUUUUUUUGGAUUUUAAUGUUUGGGUAUUUUAUUUUGCCCAUAUUAUCAAUCAAAUAUUUGUUAAUAAGUUUUUAAAUGCACAAAAUUUCAUCUAAUUUAACUAUUAUAUGAAUACACGUUUAUGUUUUAGUUGUUACAAAAAUAUACACGUCUCUCAAGCACUUAUUAAUAUAUACAUAUAUAUAUAUAUAUACACAUGCACUUCAUUUUUCAUUCAAAACGUUUAUUUAUGUUUUUAUGUUUCCUUUUUCUUUUUUCGUUUAUUUAUUUGCAAUUAUAACAUCAAUUAUUUUUUAAAUUAGAAAUUAUAUAUGAGUAUGAUUAAAAAAUAGAAAUACAACACUACUACAUAUAUUUAUAUAUAUGUAUGUAUAUGUACAUAUGUAUAAAAAGUCUUUUUUAGGGUUAAAUAUUAGUUCCCUAUUUUUAGUAUUCAAAAUUUAUUCG
rnacentral:lncRNA from 1 species